rnacentral:rRNA from 1 species
GACGAACGCUGGCGGCGUGCCUAAUACAUGCAAGUAGAACGCACAGUUUAUACCGUAGCUUGCUACACCAUAGACUGUGAGUUGCGAACGGGUGAGUAACGCGUAGGUAACCUGCCUGGUAGCGGGGGAUAACUAUUGGAAACGAUAGCUAAUACCGCAUAAUAUUAAUUAUUGCAUGAUAAUUAAUUGAAAGGUGCAAUUGCACCACUACCAGAUGGACCUGCGUUGUAUUAGCUAGUAGGGGAGGUAACGGCUCACCUAGGCGACGAUACAUAGCCGACCUGAGAGGGUGAUCGGCCACACUGGGACUGAGACACGGCCCAGGAUCCUACGGGAGGCAGCAGUAGGGAAUCUUCGGGAAUGGACGGAAGGCUGACCGAGCAACGCCGCGUGAGUGAAGAAGGUUUUCGGAUCGUAAAGCUCUGUUGUAAGAGAAGAACGGGUGUGAGAGUGGAAAGUUCACACUGUGACGGUAUCUUACCAGAAAGGGACGGCUAACUACGUG